rnacentral:lncRNA from 1 species
AGGUGUGGUCCUUAAUUUUAUAAAACCUAGCAUUUCAGAAAAGCCAUCACCCCAAUUAACUUAGCAGUCUUAAGGAUCCCUAAAUACUCACACAGGUUGGAAGCUUAAACACUUUCACACAUAAUUGCAAAAGAGUUGGUACUUUGUCAGAGAGAAAAUUUGCUAGGAACAGGGCAGGUUCAACGCCAUCUCCUAGAAGUCUUCUGACCAGAAUUAAUUUUUUUGUACAGUCCAAUAAGGCUAGUACAGUAUCUUUAAUAUUCCAUUACUUUUCAUGGUCUGCUUUGUAUUUUAGUUAAAUUACUAGGAUCUAAAGAAGGUACAAAGAUAAGCAAGAAGUGGGUAUUUGCCCUUGUGGAGUUUACGGUAAGUCUAUUAUAUUUUCAGCUUUAAGACAGAAAUGCUAAUGGUAACUCAAAGAAGUAAUAUGUGGUGCAUGUUAAAUAGCAGUGGAGGGCCAAGGACAUGAGCGAGGAUGCCUCUCCACCAGCAAAAGAUCCAGGUGCAAAGAGCACUGAAGGCAUCUUGGAGGGUAAGCAGUAUUUCAACAGGUGGAGAUGGCAGAAAUCAGCAUUCCAGAAAGAAGACAGGGCAUCCACAGCUCUUCUUCAAUAGAGGAAAUGGUUUCUCAGCUGCAGCAUGACUGACAUUUUGGCCGGAUAAUUCUUUGUUGUGGGGGCUGUCCUGUGAGCUGUAGGCUGUGUAGCGGCAUCUCGCUGUCAACCCACUGGAUGCUAGUGACACUCCGACCCCAGUGGUAACAACCCGGAAUGUCUCCAGACAUUGCCAAUUGACCUUGGGGUUGGGGGAAAAAUCACCUUGGGUGAGAGAUACUGAUACAGAAUAUAUAUACGCACAGACACGUAUAUGAGGGUAUGUGUGUGUGUAUAUAUAUAUAUAUAUAGUAACUGUCCACG